rnacentral:rRNA from 1 species
GUUGUGUGUCCGGUCAAGAACGAAACCUAAUUCCCUUCGAAAGGGGAUCUAGUCCACAGAGGGUGCAAGUCCCGUGCGGAUUCGUUUGAGGCUAGGGUGGCAGUACCUUGGAGUCGGGUUGCUUGAAAGUGCAGCCUAAAGUGGGUGAUAAACUUCAUCUAAGACUAAAUACGAGCGUGAAAUCGAUAGCCAACAAGUACCGUGAGGGAAAGUUGCAAAGAACUUUGAAGAGAGAGUUCAAGAGAGCGUGAAAUCACUGGCAUGUAACCGGAGGGAGCUGAUGUAGCCUUGGGCCAUGUUUUUCCAACGACGUUCUUACGUUUGAGGAAGGGCGGAAACCCUUAGCUACACCGACAGCUUUGAUUGUGUGCUUCGACCCGGAUUGUGCUGCCCAACUGCUCGCAGUUGGUGUCUUGCGUCCGGUUAGAUUCAUCACGGUCAAUGUUUAGCCCUGCUUGCAGGGUGUCGGUGUCAAAAGUUGGCCACCCCUCCGUCCCGUCUUGAAACACGGACCGAGGAGUGUAUCUAGUACGCGAGUCAAGGGGUGAUAAAACCCUACGGCGCAAUGAAAAUGAUAUCAUGGGAUUCCUCUUUGAGGACGCACCAUGGCCCUAUCCCAGUUGCUUGCAACGGGGUGGAGGAAGAGCGUACUGGAUGCAACCCAAAAAAUGGUGAACUAUGCCUGACCAGGAAAAAGUCAAAGGAAACUCUGAAGGAAAU